rfam:Canis lupus familiaris chromosome 8, whole genome shotgun sequence.
CAGGGACAAGGGAUUUACACCCCAGCACAUUGGUGCUGGGCCAGGAGCAACUCCCUCCAUCCUUCUUGGGGAGGGUCCGAAGAGAGGGUGCGGCGGUGAGGGUGG